rnacentral:rRNA from 1 species
GCGACCUCAGCUCAGGCGGGGCUACCCGCUGAGUUUA